CUCGUAGGUGGCCAACUAAGUCAGACGUGAAAUCCCUCGGCUUAACCGGGGAACUGCGUCUGAUACUGGAUGGCUUGAGUUUGGGAGAGGGACGCGGAAUUCCAGGUGUAGCGGUGAAAUGCGUAGAUAUCUGGAGGAACACCGGUGGCGAAGGCGGCGUCCUGGACCAACACUGACACUGAUGAGCGAAAGCCAGGGGGAGCAAACGG
rnacentral:rRNA from 1 species